rnacentral:rRNA from 1 species
CGCGAAUGGUCAUUACAACAGCUAAAAUCUACUUGAUCUUGACACAAUCCUACUUGGAUAACUGUGGUAAUUCUAGAGCUAAUACAUGCAUUAAAGCUCUGACCGUAAGGAAAGAGUGCAUUUAUUAGAACAAAACCAAGCGGCCUCCGGGCUGUUUUCGGUUGACUCAUAGUAACUGAGCUGAUCGCAUGGGCUUGUCCCGGCGACGUGUCUUUCAAGUAUCUGCCGUAUCAACUUUCGAUGGUAGUGUAAUUGACUACCAUGGUGAUCACGCGUAACGGAGAAUAAGGGUUCGACUCCGGAGAGUUCGCCUGAGAAAUCGCGAACACAUCUAAGGAAGGCAGCAGGCGCGAAAAUUACCCACUCUCAGCACGAGGAGGUAGUGACGAAAAAUAACGAGACUGUUCUCUUAUGAGGCCAGUCAUCGGAAUGGGUACAAUUUAAACCCUUUAGCGAGUAUCUAUGAGAGGGCAAGUCUGGUGCCAGCAGCCGCGGUAAUUCCAGCU